GGAGGAUCCAAGCGUUAUCCGGAAUCAUUGGGUUUAAAGGGUCCGUAGGCGGUUUAGUAAGUCAGUGGUGAAAGCCCAUCGCUCAACGGUGGAACGGCCAUUGAUACUGCUGAACUUGAAUUAUUAGGAAGUAACUAGAAUAUGUAGUGUAGCGGUGAAAUGCUUAGAGAUUACAUGGAAUACCAAUUGUGAAGGCAGGUUAUUAAUAAUGGAUUGACGCUGAUGGACGAAAGCGUGGGUAGCGAACAGGAUUAGAUACCCUGGUAGUCCACGCCGUAAACGAUGGAUACUAGCUGUUGGGAGCAAUCUCAGUGGCUAAGCGAAAGUGAUAAGUAUCCCACCUGGGGAGUACGUUCGCAAGAAGG
rnacentral:rRNA from 1 species